AUGGCUGCCGCCGCGGCGGGCGCGACGCCAGCGACGGCGCGGAAGGCCCUCGCCUCCACGACCUCCGCCCUCCUCUCCUCUUCAUUCGCGCUCCGCCGCCGCAGCUUGUCCUGCUCCGCCGCAUCAGGAGCGACCGCCCCGCGCAUCGCGCAGCAGCCGCCGGACCUGCUCCGGUGGGUGCAGCGCGAGGGAGGUUUCGUGCACCCGGCUCUCCGAGUGGCCGAUCAUCCCGAGUACGGCCUCGGGGUGUCCGCCACGGCGGCCGACGGCGUCAUCCCCCCCGGAGCCGUCCUCAUUGAUCUCCCUGGGCGCAUCCCGCUACGACUCCGCCGCCCAGCCGAUGCUGCGGACGCAGUACUGAUGCAGCUCGCCGACCGAGUCCCCGAGGAACUGUGGUCAAUGAGACUCGGCUUGAGGUUGCUUCAAGAAAGGACAAAAUCCUAUUCAUUUUGGUGGCCAUAUAUCGCGAACCUGCCAGAGACUUUUACCGUACCAAUCUUCUUUCCAGGGGAAGACAUAAAGAACUUGCAAUAUGCUCCUCUCCUCCACCAGAUAAAUAAAAGAUGCCGCUUCCUUCUCGAGUUUGAGAAAGAGGUAAAACAGAAGCUUGGUACUGUGCCCUCAGGAGAUCAUCCUUUUUGUGGACAAGAUUUGCACUCGUCUUCCCUUGGAUGGGCUAUGUCAGCAGCGUCUUCACGAGCAUUCCGUCUGCAUGGUGAAAUCCCAAUGUUGUUGCCCCUUGUUGAUAUGUGCAACCACAGUUUUAGCCCGAAUGCUAGGAUUGUCCAGGAAGGAGAUGUCGAGAGCCCUGAUAUGUCAGUUAAGGUUGUUGCUGAGACGCAGAUUGAUCAAAACGCUGCUGUUACACUGAACUAUGGUUGCUACCCCAAUGAUUUUUAUCUUCUUGAUUAUGGAUUUGUAGUAACAUCGAAUCCAUACGAUCAAGUGGAACUGAGCUAUGAUGGUAAUCUUCUCGAUGCUGCUAGCAUGGCAGCAGGGGUUUCUAAUCCCAACUUUUCAACACCAGCCAAGUGGCAACAGGAGAUCUUGUCACAGCUAAAUCUACACGGAGAGGGUGCUAUUCUAAAGGUCAGCUUAGGAGGUCCGGACAUAGUAGACGGGCGCUUAUUAGCUGCGCUGCGAGUUCUUCUUGCAGCUGACCCGGAGACCGUGGGUAAGCAUGAUCUGAAAACUUUGAUGUCGCUUGGCACGAAAGCUCCUCUGGGCCCUACCGUCGAAGCCUCGGCGCUCCGAACUGUUCUCGCACUUUGCGCCAUUGCCCUCCAACACUUCCACACCAAGAUAAUGGAUGACCAGGCCGUCCUGAAGGGAGAACCCCCUCUUACUACUCAACUGGCCGUCCAGUUUAGAUUGCAGAAGAAGCUGAUGCUCGUCGACAUAAUGCAGAAUCUUAGUCGGAGAAUCAAGACGCUGGCUCCGGAGAAAUCUACUGCCUAG
rnacentral:rRNA from 1 species